rnacentral:lncRNA from 1 species
CGCCCCACCUCCAAGUUUGAAGUGGCUUUUAUAGCUUUGAGAAAAGGAAGUAGUCAAUCUGGCUAUCAGCUAUCGAUUCGAUUCCCUCACAAAAAUAUCCACUUUGUUAUACUCAGCAGAAGGAGUUUUGGAGGGUGUCACUUCGUGAUCCAUAGGGAAGGGAGCUCAAGGGGUUGAAAGAUAAUACCUUAAAGAGAAG